UACGUAGGGGGCAAGCGUUGUCCGGAUUACUGGGCGUUAAAGAGCGUGUAGGCGGUUUGGUAGGUCCGCUGUGAAAACUCGAGGCUCAACCUCGAGACGCCGGUGGAAACCAUCAGGCUAGAGUCCGGAAGAGGAGAGUGGAAUUCCUGGUGUAGCGGUGAAAUGCGCAGAUAUCAGGAAGAACACCCGUGGCUAAGGCGGCUCUCUAGUACGGUACUGACGCUGAGACGCGAAAGCGUGGGGAGCGAACAGG
rnacentral:rRNA from 1 species